rnacentral:lncRNA from 1 species
UAUAAAAGGUUUGGUUUGUAUGGUAAGAGAGAAUUUGGUUUUGGGUUUGAUAAUCUAGUUCUUUGAGCGGGUUCGCAUUUUGUGUAUAUUUUCAGGUGGGUCGGGUUGAGGGUGCGGUUGAAUUUGUGGGUCAGGUUGAGGUGGAGGAGAAGUGAUUGUUGUUUCUGGUUGGGUAGUAGUUGUGGUGGGUUGAGAUGAGAGUUGGGGGUUAGUAUCUGACGUACCUGGAGGAACUCUUUCUGAACUCAUCUGGUCUCCACGAGCCACAGAAGGACUCGGGAUAGACGAGUUCACAGGGUCCAUCGUAUUUGGAG